rnacentral:misc_RNA from 1 species
CAGAGUUAUCUAACUCCCAAACCCAUGUGAACUUACUAUUGUUGCCUCGGCGGGGAAGCCUUACCCUGUACUUACCCUGUAGCUACCCUGUAGCUACCCUGUACUUACCCGGUAGCUACCCUGUAGCGUUCUGGUCGAGCCGCCGAUGGACCCUAAACUCCUGUUUUUAAUGAGACACUCUGAGUAAUUAUCAAAAUAAGUAA